AACUCCCAGGCAGAUGCCAGAAGGGAUGUGACCAUGGAGUGCUGUGUGUUCAUCCAGGGAAUGGUCAGAUUGCCUGUGUGAAACCCCUGUGUCCUGGGCCUCUGCUGAUCCACUGUUUUAAGGCAGUGGUGCCCUGGUUUUGUUCUCCUCUUGUCUGAGCAAGCUUAACCCUGUAGUGCCUGGUCUGUGGAGCACGCAGGGACCCUGUAGGUGGGCCCUGGGAUGGUUACAGGCUUCAUUAGCCACUGGAAGGAAUACGAUGAUAUGCAGGAAAAGGACCGUGUGAACUCAGCAAGCCACAAGUGAAGCCUCUGGAGAGCACUCUGGUCUUGCUUAAAGGCUACAAAAUGUACAACUAUGAACGAAGUACAGUCUCUACUUGGACAGGCUGAGUAAGUGGAUACUUAGACAUAAGAAUCUGGAGGGACUAAUGGAGCUGCUGAGUGAUGGAGCAGCUUCUGGAGCAGACCAAGGCACGGGAGCUUUGCCCAGUCCCUACACAGGUCACUGUGCAGGACACCAGUGUGGC